AGCCGGGUCCUGCGCAACAAGGAAUCGCAAACUCCGUCAGGUCCGGGAGGAAGCAGCGGUAGCGAAACUUCUUGUGUGUUGCAGGAGUGCCCGGCUAUC
rnacentral:SRP_RNA from 1 species